CAGCCGCCACGGGAAUACGGAGGGAGCUAGCGUUGUUCGGAAUUACUGGGCGUAAAGCGCACGUAGGCGGCUUUGUAAGUUAGAGGUGAAAGCCUGGAGCUCAACUCCAGAAUUGCCUUUAAGACUGCAUCGCUUGAAUCCAGGAGAGGUGAGUGGAAUUCCGAGUGUAGAGGUGAAAUUCGUAGAUAUUCGGAAGAACACCAGUGGCGAAGGCGGCUCACUGGACUGGUAUUGACGCUGAGGUGCGAAAGCGUGGGGAGCAAACAGGAUUAGAUACCCGCGUAGUCCCUGUCUCUUAUAC
rnacentral:rRNA from 1 species